rnacentral:rRNA from 1 species
UACAGAGGUCUCAAGCGUUAAUCGGAAUUACUGGGCUUAAAGGGUCCGCAGGCGGACCAGCAAGUACCUUGUGAAAUCUCAGGUCUCAACCCUGAGUCUGCUAGGUAGACUGCUGGUCUUGAGUGCAAAAGGGGUCGCUGGAACUCUAGGUGGAGCGGUGAAAUGCGUAGAUAUCGGAAAGAACACCAACGGCGAAAGCACUCUGCUGGGCCGACACUGACACUGAGAGACGAAAGCUAGGGGAGCGAAUGGG